UUACGGCCAUAUCACGCCAAAACACCAAUUCUCGUACGGUCGUCGAAGUUAAACAGCGUAGAGCCUGUUCAGUGCCUAGAUGGGUGACCGCUUGGGAACACCAGGUGCUAUAA